ensembl:lncRNA novel transcript
UAUCUCUAAUUUGGAGACAAAGAAUUGGAAACUUAGUGCUGGCUUCUAUCAUUGUGGUAAGAGUGAAAAUAAUGGAUACAAAUCAGAUACCUGAGGAUCUUUAGAGAAGUAAUUGUUGAGAUGUGUUGACAGAUGGGAUAGUUUGACAGAGGAUUUUCUUACCCCCCCUUACCCCAGCUGGCCUUGCUUCUACUAAACUUUCAGGUUUCAGCUUAAAGGUCUUCUGGGAAGCUCUCCCUGACCUUCAGGCCAGAUCAGGUUCCCUGUUACAAGCUAUCAGAGAGAUCUUUCUUAGAACUUGAGAGAUAUUUAUGCAUUCAUGUCCUCCAAACUAUGCCUGGCAUUCUGUAGGUGCUCAAUAAAUAUUCAUGGAGUAAAAACAGGAAUAUAUGAAAACUGCUUAACUGUCAUUGAAUAGAUAAUGAUUCCAAUAGAGACUGGUACCUGUUUAUCUAUUACACCUUUACAACUUUAAAAGGAAAAUAACUAUACUUCUGUACUUGCAUGUGUGAAAUCCCUAUCUGCUCUUGAGCUAAGAUUCUUUCUUAUUCUAACUCUACUUUCUCCUUAAGCAAUCUUGUCCAUACUAACAUUUUUUUAUUAUCACCGUUACUCAGAUGAUUCUCAAAUUAAAAUUUUCCACCCAGAG